GUCAGCGUGGGUUCGGCAUGUGAUGCUGCCCCCGCGCUCUUACUGUUGCCGGCCCCACAGUGCAGCACUGCAGGAGAGGAGACAGAGAGACAGCCCUCACUGCUGGCAGCUGAGCUCUCCGGCUGUCAGGGGGCGGAGCCAAGCUCAGGCAGACGUUGCAGACAGAAGGCCCACACUCCGGAGGAGCAGAGGUGACAGGAAGUGUCGCCACCUUUCUCCUGGAUCUGAUGCUCCGCCCCCCUGCAGUGUCUCUAGGGAGAGACAUGAUGACAUGGGGGUUUGAGGAGGAGGCAUUCCAGCUCACAGUGCAGCAGCCCAGUGAGUCCGGAGUCAGACCUCCGGUGACCUUUUCCCCACCUGCCGUCAGUCACAGAGCUUGGGGUGAUGAACAGACCAAAGGACUAUAUACAAGUGCUGAUAGAGUAAUCAAGUUGAAAUCAAUCUUCAGAUCACUCACCCAGGGAGAAAUAUGCAUACCUAAGGACAGAAAAGGGUGGUGCUGUGCUACUAUAUCUGCGGGACAGAAUGCCAUUCUACGACCACUACGAAAGAACUGUGAUCCAUCCCUUUCACCGGACAUCUAUAUAAGUUUACCUCUCCUUCAAGCUAAUAAAGGACAUCAUGGGACAUAUUUGAAUAUUAAUUCCGGUUAUAAUUUCUGUUUAUUUGUAUUGGAAACAAUCAAAAUGCUGUCUAAUGACCAUCAAGAAUGAUUGUCCACCUCUUUUCCCACUCAAAGAAGCUGAUAUCUUCUCAGGAGAGAGCAAUGGACACUGUGGAAUGCAUUUCUGACAUCAUUUCCGGUCAAAACAUCCUUUGAAUGGACCGCAAACGUCACUUCCGGUCUGGACAGGAAGUGACCUUAUCCCGCCAUUUUUGGCCGUUUUUCACUGGCUAAAAGACAUUUAAAAGGAUCCCUAUCAAGCCACAAAGGUAUCUUGCCUUGAAGAAGGGACCAGGCUGUCCCGAAACGCGUUGGAGAUACCUUGUGGCGCUGCCCACCCCCUGGACAUUUGGUGGACUGUUUUCCUGAUUGCCUGGAAGGGAAUUCGAUCAGAGGAGCCACCAGCAGGGUAUUUCCCGGGGUACCCUGCCUUUAUUUGACACCUGCGGCUCCUCCACCUGCAUCGGUAGGAUCACAUUCCCCCCAUGGCCUGUUCCUAGUCCAUUUGAUUUUUUAUGUAUUGCUUGUUUUUAGACAUU